rnacentral:rRNA from 1 species
AACGAACGCUGGCGGCGCGCCUAAUACAUGCAAGUCGAGCGAGAAGACGUAGCAAUACGUUUGUAAAGCGGCGAACGGGUGAGGAAUACAUGGGUAACCUACCCUCGAGUGGGGAAUAACUAGCCGAAAGGUUAGCUAAUACCGCGUACGCUCCUUGGACUUCGGUUCAGGGAGGAAAGCGAUACCGUGGGUAUCGCGCUCUUGGAUGGGCUCAUGUCCUAUCAGCUUGUUGGUGAGGUAACGGCUCACCAAGGCUUCGACGGGUAGCUGGUCUGAGAGGACGAUCAGCCACACUGGCACUGCGACACGGGCCAGACUCCUACGGGAGGCAGCAGUAAGGAAUAUUGCGCAAUGGGCGAAAGCCUGACGCAGCGACGCCGCGUGGGGGAUGACGGCC